rnacentral:rRNA from 1 species
AGAUUGAACGCUAGCGGGAUGCUUUACACAUGCAAGUCGAACGGCAGCGCGGACUUCGGUCUGGCGGCGAGUGGCGAACGGGUGGAGUAAUAUAUCGGAACGUGCCCAGUAGCGGGGGAUAACUACGCGAAAGCGUGGCUAAUACCGCAUACGCCCUACGGGGGAAAGGGGGGAUUCUUCGGAACCUCUCACUAUUGGAGCGGCCGAUAUCAGAUUAGCUAGUUGGUGAGGUAAAGGCUCACCAAGGCGACGAUCUGUAGCUGGUUUGAGAGGGAUGACCAGCCACAUUGGGACUGAGACACGACCCAAACU